ACUCCUACGGGAGGCAGCAGUGAGGAAUAUUGGGCAAUGGGCGAAAGCCUGACCCAGCCACGCCGCGUGAGUGAUGAAGGCCUUCGGGUUGUAAAGCUCUGUGGAGAGGGAAGAAAACUGGCGGAAUAAUACCUGACCAGCUUGACGGUACCUCUUUAGCAAGCACCGGCUAACUCUGUGCCAGCAGCCGCGGUAAUACAGAGGGUGCGAACGUUGCUCGGAAUUACUGGGCGUAAAGCGCGUGUAGGCUGAUAUGUAAGUCAGAUGUGAAAUCCCCGGGCUCAACCUGGGAACUGCAUUUGAAACUGCAUGUCUAGAGUGAUGGAGAGGGAAGUGGAAUUCCAGGUGUAGAGGUGAAAUUCAAUAGAUAUCUGGAGGAACAUCAGUGGCGAAGGCGACUUCCUGGACAUUUACUGACGCUGAGACGCGAAAGCGUGGGGAGCAAACAGGAUUAGAUACCCUGGUAGGAUAGCGU
rnacentral:rRNA from 1 species